AGGAUCAACGCUGGCGGCGUGCCUAAUGCAUGCAAGUCGAACGGGGUGCCUUCGGGUGCUUACGUGGCGGACGGGUGAGGAACACGUGGGGAAUCUGUCCCGAGGUGGGGGGUAGCCCGCGGAAACGUGGGGUAAUUCCGCAUGAGUCCCGUUGUUCAGUAGGGCGACGGGGGAAAGAUCUUCGGAUCGCCUUGGGGGGAGCCUGCGGCCGAUUAGCUAGUUGGUGGGGUAAUGGCCUACCAAGGCGGUGAUCGGUAGCUGGUCUGAGAGGACGGCCAGCCACAUGGGGGACUGAGACACGGCCCCAACUCCUACGGGAGGCAGCAGCAAGGAAUUUUCCGCAAUGGGCGCAAGCCUGACGGAGCAACGCCGCGUGCGGGAUGACGCUUUUCGGAGUGUAAACCGCUUUUCUCAGGGAAGAUGAAGGACGGUACCUGGGGAAGAAGGCCCGGCUAACUACGUGCCAGCAGCCGC
rnacentral:rRNA from 1 species